rnacentral:rRNA from 1 species
CUACGGGGCGCAGCAGUGGGGAAUCUUGGACAAUGGGCGCAAGCCUGAUCCAGCCAUGCCGCGUGAGUGAAGAAGGCCUUAGGGUCGUAAAGCUCUUUCGCCAGAGAUGAUAAUGACAGUAUCUGGUAAAGAAACCCCGGCUAACUCCGUGCCAGCAGCCGCGGUAAUACGGAGGGGGUUAGCGUUGUUCGGAAUUACUGGGCGUAAAGCGCGCGUAGGCGGACUAGUCAGUCAGAGGUGAAAUCCCAGGGCUCAACCCUGGAACUGCCUUUGAUACUGCUAGUCUUGAGUUCGAGAGAGGUGAGUGGAGUUCCGAGUGUAGAGGUGAAAUUCGUAGAUAUUCGGAGGAACACCAGUGGCGAAGGCGGCUCACUGGCUCGAUACUGACGCUGAGGUGCGAAAGUGUGGGGAGCAAACAGGAUUAGAUACCCUCGUAGUC